AUGCAGGAUAAAAACAUGUCGCUGAACCUCGUACCUGCUGCUGGAAUGAAGUUCACCACGUACGACAAGGCAUGGGACUUUUACAACAAUUAUGCAAGAUGUGCAGGGUUUGGCAUACGCAAGAGGGCAAAACACUGGACAAAUGCCUACAUUGUCUGCUCAAGAGAAGGGGCACACAAGCAGACUGUGUCAGAUUAUCACCGGGUACGUCAGAAGACAUCAAAAAGGAUUGGCUGCAAUGCAAAGAUUAGAGUCCAAAAAAGGAAGGAUGGAAAAUUUGUGAUAGAAAUGGUUCAACUCAACCACAAUCACAAGAUGCUGGAAAGCCCCGGGAUGCUUUUGCACAUGCAAUCGCACAAAAAAGACGAUCCUUUGAUAGGCCAGUUAGUGAAAGACAUGCAACUGGACAACCACACACAUGCUCAGAUGAUUUCGAUGCUGUCGCGUAUGUCCGGUGGUCUGCAGUACAUGGGACAUACUAGCCGCGACUGGGUAAACAAGAAACAGAAGUUUGCCAGAGAAGAGUCUGAAGAUGAUGUCAAGAAACUUCUGGAUUUCUUCAAGAAAAUGCAGAAGAUAAACCCAGAGUUCUUCUAUGAUUAUGACGUUGGUGCAGAUAACCGUGUAAGAAACGUCUUUUGGGCGAAAGCAAGUUGGAAAGGAUCGUAUGAAGAUUUUGGAGACUGCAUUACAUUUAGCACGAUGUAUAAAACUAACAAAUUCCAGAUGCCGCUGGGAGUGUUUGUGGGGGUGAACCAUCAUCUACAGAGCACCAUAUUUGCUGUUGCGCUCGUGUGAGAUGAAAUAAUACCAUCAUUUGAGUGGUUUUUCAAAACCUUUGUGAGGUGUAUGAACAACAAGCCGCCAAUCUGCAUGCUGACAAACCAGUGUUCUUCGAUGAAGGCAGCAUUAAAAACUAUCCUCCCACAAACUCUGCAUAAGCUGUGUAGGUGGCGUAUCAUGAAGAAGUACAAAGACCACCUUGCCUUGCUGUAUAAGGCGCACGAGAAGCUCAAGGACGAACUCAAUGCAGUGCUGAACCACCCACUAAUGCCGUCAGAAUUUGAACAAGCAUGGAAGAACCUCAUUCAGAGGUACAACUUGCAAGACAACAAAGUGAUGAAUUCGCUCUGGGAUGACAGGCACGAGUGGAUCUUGGCUUACUAG
rnacentral:rRNA from 1 species